rnacentral:tRNA from 1 species
GCCGCCGUAGCUCAGAGGGAGGAGCACCCGACUGUCGGUCGGGGGCCGCGGGUUCGAGUCCCGUCGGGGGCGC